GCCCGGGCGGUCCGGUCACGCCGGGUGGGUGGUUGAUCCAGCCAGCUUGCGUACGCCUGGAGCAGCCCCGGAUCGUGCCGGGGCCGGGCA
rnacentral:tRNA from 1 species